UACGGGGGGGGCAAGCGUUGUUCGGAAUUAUUGGGCGUAAAGAGCUCGUAGGCGGCUUGUCGCGUCGAAUGUGAAAACUCGGGGCUCAACUCCGAGCUUGCAUUCGAUACGGGCAGGCUAGAGUUCGGUAGGGGAGACUGGAAUUCCUGGUGUAGCGGUGAAAUGCGCAGAUAUCAGGAGGAACACCGGUGGCGAAGGCGGGUCUCUGGGCCGAUACUGACGCUGAGGAGCGAAAGCGUGGGGAGCGAACAGG
rnacentral:rRNA from 1 species